rnacentral:rRNA from 1 species
ACCGGGGCGACAGCAAUAUGAAGGUCAGGCUGAAGACCUUACCCGAUUAGCUGAGAGGUGGUGCAUGGCCGUCGUCAGUUCGCACUGUGAAGCAUCCUGUUAAGUCAGGCAACGAGCGAGACCCACGUCCACAGUUGCCAGCAUACCCUCCGGGGUGAUGGGUACACUGUGGAGACCGCCGCUGCUAAAGCGGAGGAAGGAGUGGGCAACGGUAGGUCAGUAUGCCCCGAAUCUCCCGGGCUACACGCGGGCUACAAUGGUUGGUACAAUGGGCAUCUACCCCGAAAGGGGAAGGAAAUCUCUUAAAGCCAAUCGUAGUUCGGAUUGAGGGCUGCAACUCGCCCUCAUGAAGCUGGAAUCCGUAGUAAUCGCGUUUCAACAGAACGCGGUGAAUACGUCCCUGCUCCUU